CUUCGAUGGAUAGGGGUUCUGAGAGGAAGGUCCCCCACAUUGGAACUGAGACACGGUCCAAACUCCUACGGGAGGCAGCAGUGAGGAAUAUUGGUCAAUGGGCGGUAGCCUGAACCAGCCAAGUAGCGUGAAGGAUGAAGGCUCUAUGGGUCGUAAACUUCUUUUAUAUAAGAAUAAAGUGCAGUAUGUAUACUGUUUUGUAUGUAUUAUAUGAAUAAGGAUCGGCUAACUCCGUGCCAGCAGCCGCGGUAAUACGGAGGAUCCGAGCGUUAUCCGGAUUUAUUGGGUUUAAAGGGAGCGUAGGUGGACUGGUAAGUCAGUUGUGAAAGUUUGCGGCUCAACCGUAAAAUUGCAGUUGAUACUGUCAGCCUUGAGUACAGUAGAGGUGGGCGGAAUUCGUGGUGUAGCGGUGAAAUGCUUAGAUAUCACGAAGAACUCCGAUUGCGAAGGCAGCUCACUGGACUGCAACUGACACUGAUGCUCGAAAGUGUGGGUAUCAAACAGGAUUAGAUACCCUGGUAGUCCACACAGUAAACGAUGAAUACUCGCUGUUUGCGAUAUACAGUAAGCGGCC
rnacentral:rRNA from 1 species